GAUGAACGCUGGCGGCGUGCCUAAUACAUGCAAGUCGAGCGAAGCGGGGACGGGUGAGUAACACGUGGAUAACCUCCUAUAAGACUGGGAUAACUUCGGGAAACCGGAGCUAAACCGGAUACUUACAAAUGGAUACGCGCUGCAUUAGCUAGUGGGUAAGGUAACGGCUUACCAAGGCAACGAUGCAUGGCCGAUCUGAGAGGGUGACCGGCCACACUGGAACUGAGACACGGUCCAGACUCCUACGGGAGGCAGCAGUAGGGAAUCUUGCGCAAUGGGCGAAAGCCUGACAGAGCAACGCCGCGUGCGUGAUGUAGGUCUUCGGAUCGUAAAACUCUGUUAUUAGGGAAGCGGUACCUGAACAGAAAGCCCCGGCUAACUACGUGCCAGCAGCCGCGGUAAUAC
rnacentral:rRNA from 1 species